GUAAAUUGUUUCAUCAAUGAUUAAUAAUGGGUGUAACCACUACACUUCUCGAUAACUUUAAGGCAUCAUUUUCCCGGAACGAGAAUGAUGUGAACUGGGUACUCGCGAGAUCUCAACCCAAUUGAGAUUUUUUGAGACCAGCAAAAGCGAUCUGUCUAUCGUCGGUUUGAAGAAUACAGUACUCUGGCUGACUUGACUCAAUUGUUGCAGAAGCAAU